CCUACGGGUGGCAGCAGUGAGGAAUAUUGGUCAAUGGACUUACGCCUGAACCAGCCAAGUCGCGUGAGGGAAGACUGCCCUAUGGGUUGUAAACCUCUUUUGUCAGGGAGCAACGCCGGCUACGUGUAGCCGGACUGAGAGUACCUGAAGAAAAAGCAUCGGCUAACUCCGUGCCAGCAGCCGCGGUAAUACGGAGGAUGCGAGCGUUAUCCGGAUUUAUUGGGUUUAAAGGGUGCGUAGGCGGAAUGCCAAGUCAGCGGUAAAAUCGCGGGGCUCAACCUCGCUCCGCCGUUGAAACUGGCGGUCUUGAGUGGGCGAGAAGUAUGCGGAAGGCGUGGUGUAGCGGUGAAAUGCAUAGAGAUCACGCAGAACUCCGAUUGCGAAGGCAGCAUACCGGCGCCCAACUGACGCUGAAGCACGAAAGCGUGGGUAUCGAACAGGAUUAGAUACCCUAGUAGUC
rnacentral:rRNA from 1 species